GGCACACCCCAGAUACCCUUUGUGAACUUAUACCUUUUUAUCGUUGCCUCGGCGCUGAGCCCGAGGGGGCGGGAUACUUCUUCUCCCCCCCCCUCCCCUCACCGUGCAAACGGUGCUGGAGCAGGCCCGCCGGCGGCCCAUUUUAAACUCUUUUGUUUUUAGAACGUAUCUCUUCUGAGUAACAAACAAAAAAAAAAAAAAAAAAAAAAAAUGAAUCAAAACUUUCAACAACGGAUCUCUUGGUUCUGGCAUCGAUGAAGAACGCAGCGAAAUGCGAUAAGUAAUGUGAAUUGCAGAAUUCAGUGAAUCAUCGAAUCUUUGAACGCACAUUGCGCCCGCUGGAAUUCCAGCGGGCAUGCCUGUUCGAGCGUCAUUUCAACCCUCAAGCCUGGCUUGGUGUUGGGGCACUACCCGUCAAACGGUAGGCCCUGAAAUUUAGUGGCGGGCUCGCUAAGACUCUGAGCGUAGUAGUUUUUUCCACCUCGCUUUGGAAGGAUUAGCGGCUGCUCUUGCCGUAAAACCCCCCCAUAUCU
rnacentral:misc_RNA from 1 species